rfam:Caenorhabditis japonica strain DF5081 Contig16801.1, whole genome shotgun sequence.
CGCUAUUAAGCGCCACAAAUAAUAUAAAAAUAAAAGUAU